rnacentral:rRNA from 1 species
AACGUAGGAGACAAACGUUAUCCGGAGUUACUGGGCGUAAAGGGCGUGUAGGCGGUCUGUUAAGUCUGGCGUGAAAGCUCUCGGCUAAACCGGGAGAGGUCGUUGGAUACUGGCAGACUAGUGGACGGUAGAGGCGUGUGGAAUUCCGGGUGUAGUGGUGAAAUGCGUAGAGAUCCGGAGGAACACCAGUGGCGAAGGCGACACGCUGGGCCGUACCUGACGCUAAAGCGCGACAGCAUGGGGAGCAAACGGG